CCAAGGAGUCUAACAUGUACGCGAGUCAUUGGGACUUUGAAAGCCUAAAGGCGUAAUGAAAGUGAAGGUCGUCCUCGCGUCGACCAAGGGAAGAUGGCCCGCGUCACGAUGCGGGCUCGCACUCCCGGGGCGUCUCGUACUCAUUGCGAGUUGAGGUGCACUAAGAGCGUACACGUUGGGACCCGAAAGAUGGUGAACUAUGCCUGGUCAGGACGAAGUCAGGGGAAACCCUGAUGGAGGUCCGUAGCGAUUCUGACGUGCAAAUCGAUCGUCGGAACUGGGUAUAGGGGCGAAAGACUAAUCGAACCAUC
rnacentral:rRNA from 1 species